rnacentral:rRNA from 1 species
UCAGGACGAACGCUGGCGGCGUGCCUAACACAUGCAAGUCGAGCGAGGAGAUCCUUCGGGAUGAUCCUAGCGGCGGACGGGUGAGUAACACGUGGGCAACCUGCCUCAUAGAGAGGAAUAGCCUUCCGAAAGGGAGAUUAAUACCUCAUAACAUUGCAGUUUCGCAUGGAACAGCAAUUAAAGGAGUAAUCCGCUAUGAGAUGGGCCCGCGGCGCAUUAGCUAGUUGGUGAGGUAACGGCUCACCAAGGCGACGAUGCGUAGCCGACCUGAGAGGGUGAUCGGCCACAUUGGGACUGAGACACGGCCCAGACUCCUACGGGAGGCAGCAGUGGGGAAUAUUGCACAAUGGGGGAAACCCUGAUGCAAGCAACGCCGCGUGAGUGAUGACGGCCUUCGGGUCGUAAAGCUCUGUCUUCAGGGACGAUAAUGACGGUACCUGAGGAGGAAGCCACGGCUAACUACGUGCCAGCAGCGGC